rnacentral:tRNA from 1 species
GUUCGACUCCCAUCAGCUCCAUAUUUGCAUUCGUGGCCGAGUGGUUGAAGGCACCGGACUCAUAAUCCGUUUUCCUCUGGAACGU